UGUUCCCAUGCCGAACACAGAAGUUAAGCUCUUUAGCGCCGAUGGUAGUUGGGCUUACGUUCCGCGAGAGUAGGACGUUGCCGGGC
rnacentral:rRNA from 3 species